rnacentral:rRNA from 1 species
UUUAAUGAGAGUUUGAUCCUGGCUCAGGACGAACGCUGGCGGCGUGCCUAAUACAUGCAAGUAGAACGCUGAAGGAGGAGCUUGCUUCUCUGGAUGAGUUGCGAACGGGUGAGUAACGCGUAGGUAACCUGCCUGGUAGCGGGGGAUAACUAUUGGAAACGAUAGCUAAUACCGCAUAAGAGUGGAUGUUGCAUGACAUUUGCUUAAAAGGUGCACUUGCAUCACUACCAGAUGGACCUGCGUUGUAUUAGCUAGUUGGUGGGGUAAGGGCUCACCAAGGCGACGAUACAUAGCCGACCUGAGAGGGUGAUCGGCCACACUGGGACUGAGACACGGCCCAGACUCCUACGGGAGGCAGCAGUAGGGAAUCUUCGGCAAUGGACGGAAGUCUGACCGAGCAACGCCGCGUGAGUGAAGAAGGUUUUCGGAUCGUAAAGCUCUGUUGUAAGAGAAGAACGAGUGUGAGAGUGGAAAGUUCACACUGUGACGGUAUCUUACCAGAAAGGGACGGCUAACUACGUGCCAGCAGCCGCGGUAAUACGUAGGUCCCGAGCGUUGUCCGGAUUUAUUGGGCGUAAAGCGAGCGCAGGCGGUUAGAUAAGUCUGAAGUUAAAGGCUGUGGCUUAACCAUAGUAGGCUUUGGAAACUGUUUAACUUGAGUGCAAGAGGGGAGAGUGGAAUUCCAUGUGUAGCGGUGAAAUGCGUAGAUAUAUGGAGGAACACCGGUGGCGAAAGCG